UUUCACAAUAGAUGCCCUCUC
rnacentral:piRNA from 1 species